rnacentral:rRNA from 1 species
GACGUAGGGCGCGAGCGUUGUCCGGAUUUAUUGGGCGUAAAGAGCUCGUAGGCGGCUUGUCGCGUCGACUGUGAAAACCCGCGGCUCAACUGCGGGCCUGCAGCCGAUACGGGCAGGCUAGAGUUCGGUAGGGGAGACUGGAAUUCUUGGUGUAGCGGUGAAAUGCGCAGAUAUCAGGAGGAACACCGGUGGCGAAGGCGGGUCUCUGGACAGUUCCUGACACUGAGACACGAAGGCCAGGGGAGCAAACGGG